AACGUAGGUGGCGAGCGUUAUCCGGAUUCAUUGGGCGUAAAGAGCUUGUAGGUGGCGGCGUAAGUUGGACGUGAAAUCGCCCGGCUCAACCGGGCGGGGUCGUUCAAUACUGCGCGGCUGGAGGAGGUCGAGAGGGAAGUGGAAUUCCUGGUGUAGCAGUGAAAUGCGUAGAUAUCAGGAGGAACACCGGUGGCGAAGGCGGGUCUCUGGGCAGUAACUGACGCUGAGGAGCGAAAGCGUGGGGAGCGAACAGG
rnacentral:rRNA from 1 species